UACGUAGGGUGCGAGCUUUAAUCGGAAUUACUGGGCGUAAAGCGUGCGCAGGCGGUUUUGUAAGUCAGAUGUGAAAGCCCCGGGCUUAACCUGGGAAUGGCAUUUGGGACUGCAAGGCUUGAGUGCGGCAGAGGAGACUGGAAUUCCUGGUGUAGCAGUGAAAUGCGUAGAUAUCAGGAGGAAUACCGAUGGCGAAGGCAGGUCUCUGGGCUGACACUGACGCUCAUGCACGAAAGCGUGGGGAGCAAACAGG
rnacentral:rRNA from 1 species